GCUUGUUGGCUCCCUAUGGUAUAAGAGCGCAGAAUAAUGGAUCCACAAAGAGAUCCUUUCUAGGUAGUUACCAAGCCUUAGCCUCUCCCGUGCUGCAGAUAUCAGCUGCUAAGAGGCAUCCGCUUGAAAUAAACACCAUUUCCCCAGAAGUGUUUGGCAGUAGCCAGAGGAAACGUGGUUGUAGUUGGCCUUUAAUUAAGACAGCUGCACUGCUUUGACCCUUAUGAAGAGGCAGGAAAGAGAAGCAGAGAUUGGUGGGGUGCUAGCAUGUCUUCCUAUGCAAAAAGAGCAGGAGGAGCCAGAAGACCUCUGUAUUCAAAGCCUCCAGGUGCCUCCUGGACAGCAAUCCCGUGCUUGUAGGAUAGUGUAUUCUCUGACUGCUCUCUGUGGGCCAGAGGGAGCCUUGCUUCCACAGCUGCCCCGUGUCCUGCUAAUGUGGAUAAUCAUCUUCAAUCAGUACCCAAGACAUGCUGACCACCUUGCAAACCCACUGACACAGAGAGGUCCUGUUCCUAUUAUGUGGUCGGCUGUGGUGAGAAAGUCCUGAAGGAAUGACGGCUUGUGUCAGGCUCUCUACAAGCAUUCAGGAGGGUGUGGUGACGUCUCAUUGCCAUUCCUCAUAGCGGACCCAGUGCUAGGCCAGCCUCCCCUCCCCUGUCACAUCGGGGGCCACGGAGCAGUUUCAGCCACCAUGGAACAACCCUGCCCCUACUGGGACCAUUCCUUCUCCCUGCUCUGGUCCUUCAUGCGUCUGCCUUGCAUCCCACCCAGCUGCUCAGGCUGGUUGGCCCUAAGAAACCAGUAAAGUUAAUAACUUGUUUUCAGGGAUGCAGCAAAGCUCCCCUGGACCUCAGCGGUGCAAGGCUGGGCCCACAGACAGAGAAGGAAACCCAUCAUCGCUUUGCCUGUGAUGACCAAGUAUUGGCUAGAGAGAGCACUUGGGUGGGUGAAGCAAGGAGACCUCUUUGCUGUCACAGAAAGAGGCUGGGGCUUACCUCGGUGUUUCUUCACCUUCUGCUGCAGUGAAGGCAGCGACAAAUCCUACACAAAGUGCCCUUCCUUCUCCACCCCAGGCUCCCCAAGAGGACUACGCAAGCCACAAACCACGCAAACCUCAUAAGAGUUUCAAAGAGCUACAAAGACGACUUAAAAGGCCAGCUGCCCAUCACAGAGCGGGCGUUCGGCUCGGACAGAAUAAAGGCAUCUGGUAGCACGGCACACAUUAAAGCAACUUUGCCAUCGAUCCGGCUGUAAAGAACUAACAAGUUCAGCACAGGUCUAGUCUAUAAACACUCCUGGAAUUAGAGGCACCGAGGAAGCAACAGGACGUGUUGUGGUUUUUAUUACAGUAGUUAAAUGCUCCCGAGUUGGUUGGAUUUAACAAUCCCCUUGUACCCAGUGGGUGGGAUAAAAGGGGGGGGAAAAAUAUAACCAAGAGACAUUGAAUUCUAUCUUUUCCUCAAACCAAAGCUAAGCCCUCCUCCUCCUUGAGCAGAGGUGGUCAGGUGCCUGCUGCUACUUGGACUUACCAUGGCAAUAAACAAGAUUCCCCCCCCCCGGCUCCUCUGUCCCCUGCCUAAGCAGCCUCAUCCAGCGAGUUGUGUCUUUGAUAAUCAACCGGCAGCAGGGAGCCGAGUUCCCUGUGGGAGCAGCUUGCACAGUUUAUUUUUUGCACAUGCAGCUCCUGCCUCUCCAGAGGUGGGGACGGAGCUGCCUCCUUGACAUCACUGGAAAAACGUAAGCUGGAGACGGAGAGGCACGAGAAAACUCUGAGCCCGGAGCCUGGGGCUCUCUGCUGUAUUCCCACCAGGCCCCCUUGACCACGCUCCAAGGAGGAAGCUGCCGUGUCCAGUCUUCCUAAAUCGAUUGGCUUUUUAUUGACGGACGAAACUCCAAUGAUCUCAGCAUAAACUGGAAUAGCUAUUUGGUUUUCCACCCCCCCCACGCCCUCCCCCAACACACACACAUCCAGCUGCUGUCUGACUUCCCAACACCAGGGCUAGAGAUUGGUUCAUCGACGCCUUUAAUAUUGCUGGCCACUGAAUCCUCUUUCUUGGGCGAACGGCUUCCCCUCUCCCCCAGCGCAGCCCAAUCCCCUCCUCCAGAGCUGUCAUUUUCUUUAGGAGUUUUGUCUAUGGAGUCUUUAAAAAAAAAAAA